AUCGCUUCUCGGCCUUUUGGCUAAGAUCAAGUGUAGUAACUUCUGUGUUAUGUAUCAUUUAUCAUCAUUUAAGAAACCAAAUCUAC
ensembl:snRNA U2 U2 spliceosomal RNA